UGGGGAAUUUUGGGCAAUGGGGGAGACCCUGACCCAGCGACGCCGCGUGAGGGAAGACGGCCUUCGGGUUGUAAACCUCUUUUGUACGGGAAGAUAAUGACGGUACUGUACGAAUAAGUCCCGGCUAACUACGUGCCAGCAGCCGCGGUAAUACGUAGGGGACGAGCGUUGUCCGGAAUUACUGGGCGUAAAGGGCGCGCAGGCUGCGUUACAAGUCGGCUGUUAAAAUCAUGGGCUUACCCCAUGAGUGCGGUUGAAACUGUAGUGCUUGAGUACUGUAGAGGCAAGCGGAAUUCCCAGUGUAGCGGUGAAAUGCGUAGAUAUUGGGAGGAACACCGGGUGGCGUAGGCGGCUUGCUGGACAGUAACUGACGCUGAGGCGCGAAAGCCAGGGGAGCAAA
rnacentral:rRNA from 1 species